GGGGAUGUGGUUCAGUGGUAGAGUUCUUGUCUUGCAUACAUAAGGCCCUGGGUUUGAUCCCUAGCAUCACAA
rfam:Cavia porcellus supercont2_40 genomic scaffold, whole genome shotgun sequence.